rnacentral:tRNA from 1 species
GGUCGUAUGGCCGAGUGGUUAGGCAAUGGUCUGCAACACCAUUUACAGCGGUUCGAGUCCGCUUGCGACCU